CUUGGUAUCCAUAGCGCAGUAGAACCACUCCGCUCCAUCCCGAACUCGGCUGUGAAAUGCUGCCACGGCGACGAUAGUUAGGGGGUUGCCCCUUGUGAAAAUAGCUCGAUGCCAAGU
rnacentral:rRNA from 1 species